rnacentral:ncRNA from 1 species
CCAGCUAUUCCGAUAGCUGUUCCCUACCUGGCCAUACGAUUCUGGCAACGGGAUGGUAUGAAGCGUCAGGGACAAUGCAACCGCGGGAUAUACCGUAGGAAAUCUCGUGAGAGAUAACCAAAACUGCAAGCACUAUGCGGUGAGGA